UACGUAGGGUGCGAGCAUUGUCCGGAUUUAUUGGGCGUAAAGAGCUCGUAGGCGGUCUGCCGCGUCGGAUGUGAAAACUCGGGGCUCAACCCCGAGCCUGCAUCCGAUACGGGCAGACUGGAGUGUUGCAGGGGAGACUGGAAUUCCUGGUGUAGCGGUGAAAUGCGCAGAUAUCAGGAGGAACACCGGUGGCGAAGGCGGGUCUCUGGGCAACUACUGACGCUGAGGAGCGAAAGCGUGGGGAGCAAAC
rnacentral:rRNA from 1 species